ACCACAACUUAAUAAACUUAAUAAAUUAUAAGUCAAAAUCACAUUUCUUAAAUUAUAUAUUAUUUACUGGUCACAAAAUUAACUAAUUUAUUGGUUGCAAGUAGUCUCACCCCAUUCCAUCUCACCCACUACCACUACCACUACCACUAUCACCGUCGCCAUGACUAGUAUCACUAUCCUCAUCGCCACCACCUCACCAGACCAAAAAUAUCACUAUCAUCUCACCACCGCAACCAACAUCAUAAACACUACCAUUCAAACACCACAAAAAAAUCAAAUUCAAAAUAAUGUUAUUGAACAACCAGGUUGCGACUUCGUAGCAACCGCAACCGCUAUGCCAUUACAUCACAACCACCACCAGCUUGCCGAACCGCCAACAACCCUACCACUUCACCGCCACAAUGAACAUCACAAUCACAACCAACCAAAUACCAAAGACCAAAAAUCAGAUGACUGGAUAAAGACGGUGGCUGGGAACUAGAUGCCAGAAGAAACCAAAUGCCACGUGUUUGCAGUAGCGCCCAGAAGAAUCAGAUCGUAGUGCCUCGACGCCUUUUACCAGGGAUGAAGACAUUGACCGGGAAUGGGAUGCCGGCUGCUGAGAUGUGUGAGAUAGAGAGAUUGGUAUGUAGAGAGGAGAGGGAAUGUUAGCUGUCAUGAGAGAGAGAGAGAGAGAGAACAUGGAGGGGAGAGUAAUUAGGGUUUGUGAUGAAUUUUGGCAGGUUAUUAAUAUUAUAUAUUUGAAUUAAUAUCUGAUUUUUGUAUAAACAAAUUUUAUAUCUAAUUUUUGAAAUUGGAUCUUAA
rnacentral:lncRNA from 1 species